rnacentral:rRNA from 1 species
GACGAACGCUGGCGGCGUGCUUAACACAUGCAAGUCGAACGGUAAGGCCCUUCGGGGUACACGAGUGGCGAACGGGUGAGUAACACGUGGGUGAUCUGCCCUGCACUUCGGGAUAAGCCUGGGAAACUGGGUCUAAUACCGGAUAGGACCACUGCCUGCAUGGGUGGUGGUGGAAAGCUUUUGCGGUGUGGGAUGGGCCCGCGGCCUAUCAGCUUGUUGGUGGGGUGAUGGCCAACCAAGGCGACGACGGGUAGCCGGCCUGAGAGGGUGACCGGCCACACUGGGACUGAGAUACGGCCCAGACUCCUACGGGAGGCAGCAGUGGGGAAUAUUGCACAAUGGGCGCAAGCCUGAUGCAGCGACGCCGCGUGAGGGAUGACGGCCUUCGGGUUGUAAACCUCUUUCAGCACCGACGAAGCGCAAGUGACGGUAGGUGCAGAAGAAGGACCGGCCAACUACAUGCCAGCCGCCGCGGUAA